rnacentral:lncRNA from 1 species
CCUCCCUCCCCUCCCCCUCGCCUGCCGGCUCUGUCUCUCCCGCGCCUGGAGACCAGCUCUGUGGCGCCUUCCCGCCUUCCCCUCUUCCUGGUCUCCGUCAGUCAGGAGCCGCUGUCCCCCUGUGAGCAAACUCGCAUUUAUGUUGGCCAGGUGUCUGAUUUCACCAUGUCUGGACUACCAAGGUCACUGGACAUCCUCCCACCUGCCCUCUGACCCACCCUGAGAACGCGGACAACAGAGAUGCCUCUUCCCUGGACUUCCACUGAGUUCCCAAGAUGACACCAAACAAGCCUUCAUCUUGGAUGUGUUUUUGGUGGGAGAGGGGAAGUUCAAGAAACACUGCUGCUAAUGACAAGGAAUCUGAAUAUACUAGGAGGUACCUCAAGAUAGACUCUGAGGGAAAAUGUCCUAGGAGGCAGCUGCCCACAACAAGAAAAACAAGGAGUCAACCCACUCCAAGCAGAUGGGGGAAUCUCGGCAGUGUCUCCUGCCAGCUGGACCUGGAGGAAGGAGGUGCUCAAGAGGUCCCGGUUGUGAGGACUCUGUCUUGA